AGUGAACGCUGGCGGUAGGCCUAACACAUGCAAGUCGAACGGCAGCACAGUAAGAGCUUGCUCUUACGGGUGGCGAGUGGCGGACGGGUGAGGAAUACAUCGGAAUCUACUUUUUCGUGGGGGAUAACGUAGGGAAACUUACGCUAAUACCGCAUACGACCUACGGGUGAAAGCAGGGGAUCUUCGGACCUUGCGCGAUUGAAUGAGCCGAUGUCGGAUUAGCUAGUUGGCGGGGUAAAGGCCCACCAAGGCGACGAUCCGUAGCUGGACUGAGAGGAUGAUCAGCCACACUGGAACUGAGACACGGUCAAGACUCCUACGGGAGGCAGCAGUGGGGAAUAUUGGACAAUGGGCGCAAGCCUGAUCCAGCCAUACCGAGUGGGUGAAGAAGGCGUUCGGGUUGUAAAGCCCUUUUGUUGGGAAAGAAAAGCAGCAGGUUAAUACCCCGCUGUUCUGACGGUAACCAAAGAAUAAGCACCGGCUAACUUCGUG
rnacentral:rRNA from 1 species